rnacentral:rRNA from 1 species
UUUCCCUACGGGGCGCAGUAGUGAGGAAUAUUGGUCAAUGGCCGAGAGGCUGAACCAGCCAAGUCGCGUGAGGGAUGACGGCCCUACGGGUUGUAAACCUCUUUUGUCGGGGAGCAAGACCCGCCUCGUGCAGGCGGAGCGAGAGUACCCGAAGAAAAAGCAUCGGCUAACUCCGUGCCAGCAGCCGCGGUAAUACGGAGGAUGCGAGCGUUAUCCGGAUUUAUUGGGCGUAAAGCGAGCGCAGGCGGUUGCUUAGGUCUGAUGUGAAAACCUUCGGCUUAACCGAAGAA